CUCCAGACUAUCAGCACCAGAGUCAGCUGCUCAUCAGCAAAGUUACUGAUCCCUUGCUUGGUACUGGGCUUGGUACUUCAUGCCAGGAACACAGUGGGAGCGAAGCCAAGCCCCCAUCCUCAAGGGACAUCCAUAUUUGGGGGUGGGGCUGGAACUCCGUGGGUCAAUUCUUGGGUCAACAGAGUCCAGAGAGGGCAGGAGCCCUCCAGGGUCAGGAAUCAGGUCAGUGACAGUGUGGGGACUAGAACCCAGGGCUCCUCCUUCCUAGAACUGCCCCUUCCAACUUUACCACCUGCCUCUGGAUCCUGUGGGAAGCUGGCUCUCCUUCCUCCAGGAUGCAGGUUGUUGCCUGGAGCAGCGGCUGACCCAGACCCCACACUUUUAGCCCAGGGCCUAUUGGGGCCUGCAUGGGAAAGGUGAGAAUGAACUCACCACCCUCCCCUCUACCUGGCCCUUAGCUGCCUCCCUUUAUCACCUUGUUAAGGACUUUUUCCUCUCCAUUUGGAACCUGGAAUUUCAUUAUUUCAUAUGUGAAGCUUAGGGAUAAUAGGCUGCCACUUGAAGGCUGCUUUUCACCUUCCAAGCCCUCUGCAGACUGUUAAUUAGUCCUCUCUGGCAUGCUCCAGUAAGUGUUCUUGGUCCAGGAAAGGGGAACCCAAGGGAGGCCGAGGGACUUGCCUCAGGGAUGUGGGGCUGGCAAAAGCCUGAGGAGGAAAAAGAGGAGCCCUGCAUUCUGGAAACUUCUCCUAACGGACACCUAGCUCACCUAGCUCCCAGGCUCCUUUCCUGUUAGGACGGCUGAAUAACUGAGGGCAGGAGCAGAUGGGAGCCCUCCUGUGGGAAUAUGGCUCAAAGAACUUCACAAUUGGACCCUAAGUUGGAAUCCCAUCCCCUGCUAAUUGCACGACCUUGGAUGAUAAUUAACCUCUAAGCCUCCGUUUUCUUUUCUGUGGAAUGGAGGUAAUAACAAAGUGCUCCUUGAUGUUGAGGAUUGAGCUAGUGCUGGCCACUGGAGGUUGGAUGCGAGUCCCCACCUGCCGGGUGUUUACAGCCCCCUGAGGGAGACAGACAAGCAAAUGAACCAUGACCACACAGAGUGAUCAGAGCUCAGCAAUGAGACUGUAUCCGUGGGUCAGCAACACUGCCUGGAGGAAGCAUUAAGGUUUGAGCCCAGAGAGAAGAGAAGAUACUGAGGUUGGGAAGAGAAGCUUCCAUGUGGAGAGGGGCACAUAUGCAGGUCUGGAGAAUCACAAGUACUUCAGCAAGGCCUAGCAGAGAGCUGAGGGGCUAGGUGGUCAACGGCCUCACAUGCUGGGCUUUAUUCUGAGGGUAACGGGGAGCCAUGGAAGAGUCUGGAGCUCCAGAGUGAAAUGUUCAGAAAGUGUUCUUUUUCUUUUUGGCUAGAAUAAUAAUAACUGAGCCAACACUGGUUAUUCUGUGGGAAAACACACAGAUCAUUGCUUAAUAGAAGUGGUCUAUUCGGAAGAAAAAGCCUGCUGAAAGGUGGGAUCCAGAGAAAGAACCAAACAAAAGGCCAAGCAAAAGGUGGUGAUGACAUUGGUGACCUCAGGCCCAUACCAUAUCUCUUCACCCCACCACCCCAGCUUUGCCCCCGUUAUUUCAGACAGACCUUCCUUCCUGUUGGGACACGUGUGUGUGUGGCUGUGCCUGUGACUUGGCUCUGUGGUCACCUGCCUGUGUGUGCCACUGCCCCUGCCUCCCUGCUCUCCACCACUCCAUCUCUCCAGAGCCCGGUUCUGCCACCUCCUCCAGCAAGCCUGCCCUGGGCCCCCCUGGUUCCUGAGAAUAUUUUGCUAUAUCCACUUGGAAGAACUUUAGUAGGGUUUCUAAGGCAAUGUGAAUGCUGCGGUUGGGCUGUGAGGUAGAAUAAUCAGUGCUCAGACCUUAACCUGCAUAACCAAACAGUAAGCAAUUUGAGGGCAGGGGCUAUGCCUCAUUCCUUUCGGGAGACCUCAGUCAUCCAGCUCUGUGCCUGAGAAGCAGCAGGUCCCAUAUUAAAAUGUCUGUUCAGUGGAUUCAUGUUUCAUUGUGUGCAUCCUAAACUUGUCCAGGACUACUGUGAGCCUCCUCUUUGGAAUAAGUGUAGGACCCCCCUAAAUUUCUGCAGGGUCAUUCUCUUCAGUGCCUGGUGGCCCAGUCUCCUUUCUGAGCCUUCUGGACUUGCCAGGAUCUGGAAACCCAGAGAGACGCCUAGGGUCCAUCCUGCAGCGAGGAAAGGCCGGCUCUCCAGAGCAGGAUCUGGAAACCCAGAGAGAGGCCUAGGGUCCAUCCUGCAGCGAGGAAAGGCCGGCUCUCCAGAGCAGGAUCUGGAAACCCAGAGAGACGCCUAGGGUCCAUCCUGCAGCGAGGAAAGGCCGGCUCUCCAGAGCAGGAUCUGGAAACCCAGAGAGACGCCUAGGGUCCAUCCUGCAGCGAGGAAAGGCCGGCUCUCCAGAGCAGGAUCUGGAAACCCAGAGAGACGCCUAGGGUCCAUCCUGCAGCGAGGAAAGGCCGGCUCUUCAGAGCAGGAUCUGGAAACCCAGAGAGAGGCCUAGGGUCCAUCCUGCAGCGAGGAAAGGCCGGCUCUCCACUCUAGCAGCUGGGAUGGCAGGCACAGAGGUCAGAUCCAUCCUUAGCCCAGGCCCAAGAUGCAGGCAUUUUCACUCCCAUGGGACCCACGAGAAGAGUGGAGUGGUUCCACAUCAGGAGAAUGGGACGCUUUGCGGUGUGAGCCGGGGGAGGCCCUUUUGCUUCCCUCUAUGGAGCUCAAUUUUUUCAGCAGAAAAUGAAGUGGACAGGAUGAUCCCUGAAUUCUGGCUUGAACAAAAGCUCCCGCGUGGCGCUGAAGGUGGAGGUGGUUCGGCUCAAGGAAUCUACCCUGUGAGCAUGAGGAGUUGAGACAAGCCUGGGCUAGGAGAAGGACACCAGCCCAUGACCCAGGCUAAGCUCUGUCAUGGGCAGGAUGUAUAACCACCACAAGUCAUUUCACUGCUAUAAAAUAGAGAUAAUAAUCCCUCUCCUGUUCACUUAUGGGCUUACUGUGAACAUCAAAUGAAAUAACAAGCACAGAAGUGUUUAAAUUGUAAGGUAUGGUGUCAAGUUGAAUCAUCUUCUGGUUCUUGAACCACAGGGACCAUUUAACCCAAUUUCCUCAUAUUCCAGAAGAGGAAACAGAAGUUCAGAGUGGCUGUGACUCGUCCAGUGUUCUCUGUGGCAGAACUGAGACCAGCUCCUAGAUGCGAUCUCUUCUCUUUAACCACCGCUGUGGCUGCUAUGAUUCAGAGACCUGACAACAUUUUGUCAUAGAAAAAAAUUCAACCACCUCCCCGCCGCCACCCCCCACCCUGCUGACCCUUGGCAUGGAGUAUCUCUCUGCCUUCAAAAGAAAAGAAGAAACAAAUUCCAAACCCCAAACCCCACUAACUGCAGAGCAGCUGCUUCUCAGGGAAAGCGGCCACCCGGAAUGUAACGCGGCAGAAACCGGUCUCACUGCCUGCCACCAAGCAAACGUGGCCUGUUCUGAUGGCUCAGUGGCCAAUGUCUUCCUGUCACCAAGCUCCUCCAAAUCGCGGGGGAGAUUGUUUUGACAUUUGAUUAGCCACAGAGUGUAACUUGUGAGUGCUUGAGCAAGCCGACUCUCAAGCAAUGGCAUCGCUGAGUGCUUUAGCCUGUUAGAGAUACCAUGUAUCAGGGAAAGCGAUGGCGGGCAGGGCUCCAAGAGGGAAGAUAAGUGGGCUGUUGGGAGAAAUUAAUACGAAGAAAGGAAGCGGCGAAUGAAGUCAAACGAAAACAGGGUCCUGUGAUAUCCAUGACUCAUAAAUUUCAUUGAUACCCAGAAUGUGAGUUCCCUGCUCUCCCUCGAGUUAGUAAACUGCUUGUCCUCAGGGUGACCCUGCGGGAAGAUUCAGGGGCAGGAAGGAGGUGGGAGGAACAGGCUGGAAAGCCCGCAUAACUUUUAGGUGGAGCUUGCACAAAAUGCUUUCUCUCCUGCAGGGAAGAGCCUAUGAAGAUGGCCCUGAGAACAGAUGAGUGCCUGCCUAGGGCGUGAUUCAAGGGGGAAGAGGUCACCAAAGGAAGGCAGGAAGGUGAUAAUUGUGGGGGUGGGAAUGGAGAUUGGAGGGACCCAAGACAGAAGUCACAACUGAAUCCUUAUUUCUUUUUUUUUUUUUUUGAGAUGGAGUCUCUCUCUGUCUCCCAGGCUGGAGUGCAGUGACGCGAUCUCGGCUCACUGCAAGCUCUGCCUCCAGGGUUCACGCCAUUCUCCUGCCUCAGCGUCUCCGAGUAGCUGGGAUUACAGGCGCCUGCCACUACGCCCGGCUAAUUUUUUGUGUUUCUAGUAGAGACGAGGUUUCACCGUGUUAGCCAGGAUGGUCUCAAUCUCCUGAUCUCGUGAUCCGCCCACCUUGGCCUCCCAAAGUGCUGGGAUCACAAGCAUGAGCCACCGCGCCCGGCCUGAAUCCUUAUUUCUUAGCAAGGUUGUUCAGGCCACCCUACUCCAAACUAUUUAUUGCCAUGAGUCCCUUCAUUAUCUUUAACCACCAUAAACCCCCUAAUGUGAAAGACUGAGUCUGCCAAAUGAAUUAGGUUUUGCCGACAGCUCAGACCGUGGAGUUCCGUAAGCCUGCGGUGAGAGCUAAGUCUAAUCUAUGGGGGGUUCUCAGUAGGAUGUUUGACAUGUUGGAAACCACUUGGGGACCCCUCUGCUUUCUGCUGGACUCAACUUAGGCUGGCAGCUGUUGAUCCUGUGCUGUCACCUCCACCCCUCCCGCCGGUGCCCAUGCCUCGGGAGCCAUGAUGGAGAGAGGUCAGCAGGAAGGGGAGUGAAGUAGUGGGAAAGGCCUGGCCUGGGAAGCUGGGGAGGGGUGUGGUCCCAGAACAUAAGGAGGGGGAAGACUAGGAGAGGUGUCAUAUCAGGGGACUUCCUGGAGCUGUGGAUUUGCUAAUGCUGCCCUCUCUUCACUCUAAGGCCCUGUCUGUGACAUCAAGUGACCUCCCUAUAUUAGACUCUUGUGUGCAGAAAAGGCUAUACCUUUGUAGCCAAGGAAAACCCAUUUCAGUGGGCAGGAACCCACAUCAGAGUCCGCAGGUAAGCACCCCUAGUAAGGCUAAAUGAGGAAUAGAUUGGAAGAUCCAAGAGAUCUGGAAAAGGGGGCCUUUUAUGAACCUUAGACGCAGGAACUGCCAUUGCCCAAACCCAGCUCCAAACCCAGCUCAGCAGGAUGGGGCCUCCCCAUACUCCACCCCAAAGCCUGCAGUGGAAACCUCAGAACUGACCUUCCAGAUUGACCAAGUUGGUAGUCUUAGCUCUAGAUUGCACCUGAGGAAACUGAGGUACCUAGAAGUCAAGUAAUUUGUUCAGCAUUACAUGCUGGACUCUACGUCCAGCUUUGUCUGAUUCCAAGCCAGGGCUUGCAAUGCUGCACCAUGUACUGUGUGGAGGUUUUAGUGCACUUCAGAGUUUCUAUAGCUAUCUUCCCAACUAUCCUGUGAGCACGUAGAAGGCAGAAGCAAAGUUUUCUUUACUAUUUGCAUGGCUUCAUUUUAACACAUUUACUGGGGGCUCACUUCAUGUCGGGCAUUGCGCGAGGUGGGAAUAGCUACAUGAUAUCAUAUUUGGGGCGUAUGUUCAAGAAUUUCAAGAUGGUGACAGCAGAGCAUGAAACCAAGUGCAGGGUCUUUCUGAGAGCAGCUCCCGAAGCCAGUCCAGUCAUCAGAAGAGCAGAGAGAAGAGCACAAAACCAGACACAACUGCAGUGUCCUCUGAGAACGGGGACAGCUGUAGGCGCAGGGCUAAGGGAGCUCAGAGGAGAGCACUAAGCCCAACAAGCACUUGACUCGAUGGCGAUACUACACAUUUGCAGCUUCUCAGCGGGUGCUGAGGAAAGCACCUCGGUGCACGUGACCUCACAGUGACAUAAUGAGGCAGACAUUAUUUAUGUAACAAGAAAACAGCAUAGAUCCUAUACUACCUACCAGAUACUUCCCUCUUCCCCAAGCGUUUGUAACUAUUAACCACUUUGCUCUUAAUCUUUUGAUGUAGUUGCUUUGUUAUCCCCAUUUUACAGAAAAAGAAGCUGAGGUUCAGAGACAUUAAGUGACUUGGCAAAGUCGAAGCUUCAACCUCAGAUUAGUCUGUUUCUGGGUCUAGAAGUUUUUCUACCAGAGCAGCACUUCCAUGCAAGUAACCUCGGUGAAUCAGCUUUAGAAAACAUAUGAUACGCAGACAUUGUGUGAAGGCCUCUGGGGUCCCCUCCUUGCUGGGAUGAGAUGACAGGUCCACAAGGGGGCCAGGGGCAGCUGGUGCCCAGGGAGGGGCUGCACAGUGAGCCCCAGGGCCUGCAGCUUAGAGAAUCCUUUGUCUGAGGAUCAGCAUGUGUAGGGGUGGGACUGGUUAAAACAAACGAUUGCACCUUUCCUCCUUUUAAAGGGGAAAACAUUGGGAAAUGAAAUUAGAAUAAAACGAAGGGGAGAAAAACAUCCAUUGUCCCAGUAUCCAAAUACUACCGCUGUUAAUAUGUUGAAAUAUUCCCUGCCAGUCUUGAGGGAUGUGGGGAAAGUGUGCCUUCUUAUAUUUUGGGGGAAAUGCAAAGUGGUAUAACUUUUACUGGAAGCAAUCUGGCAACAUCUAUUAAAAUAAAAAAAGUAUAUACUCUUCAACUCAGCAGUCUAACUCCUGGGAAUCUAGCCCACAGAAAUAAAAGCUCCGUUAGGUAAAAAUGUAAGUACAAAGAUGUUUAUUGCAGCGUUAUUUGAGUGGCGUUCAUGCAUGUGCACACACACAGGGAACACAGUGAAUGCCCAUCCCAGAGAAAGGCUGAAUAAAUGAGGGUACAUAAAACAUGGACUAUUAUAUAGCCAUUAAAAAGAAUGAAUUAGCACUAUACUAUUUGACUGGGGGUAGGGAGGUACAUUAGUCUAUUUUGUGUUGCUAUAAAGGAGUACCUGAGACUGGUUAAUUUACAAAGAAAAGAGGUUUACCUUGGCUCACAGUUCUGCAGACUGUUCAGGAAGCAUAGAGCUGGCAUCUGCUUCAUGCAAGGACCUUCACACAAAGAAGCUUAUACUAAUGGUGGAAGGUGAAAGGCACAUCACAUGGUAAAAGAGGGAGCAAGAGAGAGAGGAGGAGGUGCCAGGCUCCUUUAAGCAACCAGAUCUCAUGUGAACUCAUAGAGUGAGAACUCACUCAUCACCAUGAGGACAGCACCAAGCCAUUCAUGAGGAAUCUGCCUCCAUGACCCAGACACCUCCCACUAGGCCCCCUUACAACACUGGGAGCCACAUUUCAACAUGAGAUUUGGAGGGGACACAAACCAUAUGAGGAGAUAUGUUGAAAGGGAAAAGAUAGAUGCAGAAAAAGGUGUGUAACAUGAUUCACUUUUUAUAAAACAAUAACAGAAAUGACCUGCCUUUGCGUUUGUAUGCAUAUACAUGUAUGUUGACACAGG
rnacentral:lncRNA from 1 species